rnacentral:tRNA from 1 species
GGUUGUGGCUCAGUGGUGGAGCGCUCGCCUGGCAUGCAUAAGACACUGGGUUCGAUCCUCAGCACCA